rnacentral:rRNA from 1 species
UGAGAUAAUAGCUCACCAAGGCGAUGAUACGUAGCAGACCUGAGAGGGUAAUCUGCCACAAUGGGACUGAGACACGGCCCAUACUCCUACGGGAGGCAGCAGUAGGGAAUCUUCCACAAUGGACGAAAGUCUGAUGGAGCAACGCCGCGUGAGUGAAGAAGGGUUUCGGCUCGUAAAACUCUGUUGUCAGAGAAGAACGGCUGUGAGAGUAACUGCUCACAGUGUGACGGUAUCUAACCAGAAAGUCACGGCUAACUACGUGCCAGCAGCCGCGGUAAUACGUAGGUGGCAAACGUUGUCCGGAUUUAUUGGGCGUAAAGGGAGCGCAGGCGGUUUAUUAAGUCUGAUGUGAAAGCCUUCGGCUUAACCGGAGAAGUGCAUCGGAAACUGAUAAACUUGAGUGCAGAAAAGGAUAGUGGAACUUCAUGUGUAGCGGUGAAAUGCGUAGAUAUAUGAAGGAACACCAGUGGCGAAGGCGGCUAUCUGGUCUGUAACUGACGCUGAGGCUCGAAAGCAUGGGUAGCAAACAGGAUUAGAUACCCUGGUAGUCCAUGCCGUAAACGAUGAAUGCUAAGUGUUGGGAGGUUUCCGCCUCUCAGUGCCGCAGCUAACGCAUUAAGCAUUCCGCCUGGGGAGUACGACCGCAAGGUUGAAACUCAAAGGAAUUGACGGGGACCCGCACAAGCGGUGGAGCAUGUGGUUUAAUUCGAUGCUACGCGAAGAACCUUACCAGGACUUGACAUCUUCUGCCAAUCUAAGAGAUUAGAC